rnacentral:rRNA from 1 species
UAGGGAAUCUUCGGCAAUGGGGGGAACCCUGACCGAGCAACGCCGCGUGAGUGAAGAAGGUUUUCGGAUCGUAAAGCUCUGUUGUUAAGGAAGAACGAGUGUGAGAAUGGAAAGUUCAUACUGUGACGGUACUUAACCAGAAAGGGACGGCUAACUACGUGCCAGCAGCCGCGGUAAUACGUAGGUCCCGAGCGUUGUCCGGAUUUAUUGGGCGUAAAGCGAGCGCAGGCGGUUAGAUAAGUCUGAAGUUAAAGGCAGUGGCUCAACCAUUGUAGGCUUUGGAAACUGUUUAACUUGAGUGCAGAAGGGGAGAGUGGAAUUCCAUGUGUAACGGUGAAAUGCGUAGAUAUAUGGAGGAACACCGGUGGCGAAAGCGGCUCUCUGGUCUGUAACUAACGCUGAGGCUCGAAAGCGUGGGGAGCGAACAGG